rnacentral:antisense_RNA from 1 species
AAGCAGUCAGCAGUGAGCAGGGGAGGAGGCCAGGCCCACUGGGGGUCGGCGCUGAGGAAGCCAGGAUUUUCCGAGGAGCCACACCAACUCCAGGAGCCACGCCAACUCCAGGAGCCACACCAACUCCAGGAGCCACGCCAACUCCAGGAGCCACGCCAACUCCAGGAGCCACACCGACACCAGGAGCCACGCCGACACCAGGAGCCACGCCGACACCAGGAGCCACGCCAACACCAGGAACUAACCCUGCAAGAUUGAGAAGAGCUGAUCACUAACCAAGGCCUGAUCAAAGAGGACAGAAGCUUAUGGAAAGAGGGCUGGAGCCUCGGCACUGGCAUAGAUUUGCUGUGUGACCCUGGAUCAGUUACUUUCCCUUGCUGGGCCUCAGCUUCCUCAUCCCUAAUAUGAAGUGCGUGCAGGCUCAGAAGCGAGUCUCCUGCCUUAGCCUCCUG